rnacentral:sRNA from 1 species
GCUAGGUGCAGUGGUGCACACCUGUAAUUCCAGCUACCUGGAGGCUGAGGCAGGAGGAUCACAAGUUUGAGGCCAGCUUCAGCAACUUAACAAGACCCUGUCACAA